GAUGAAGAACGUAGCGAAAUGCGAUACUUGGUGUGAAUUGCAAAUUCAGUGAAUCAUCGAGUCUUUGAACGCACAUUGCGCCCCCUGGUAUUCCGGGGGGCAUGCCUGUCCGAGCGUCAUUGCUGCCCUCAAGCACGGCUUGUGUGUUGGGCCCCGUCCUCCGAUCCCGGGGGACGGGCCCGAAAGGCAGCGGCGGCACCGCGUCCGGUCCUCGAGCGUAUGGGGCUUUGUCACCCGCUCUGUAGGCCCGGCCGGCGCUUGCCGAUCAACCCAAAUUUUUAUCCAGGUUGACCUCGGAUCAGGUAGGGAUACCCGCUGAACUUAAGCAUAUCAAUAAGCGGAGGA
rnacentral:misc_RNA from 1 species